AGAGUUUGAUCAUGGCUCAGAACGAACGCUGGCGGCGUGCCUAACACAUGCAAGUCGAACGGAAUUGAGGGGCUUGCUCUUCAAUUUAGUGGCGCACGGGUGAGUAACGCGUGGAUAAUCUGCCCUGGUGUCCGGGAUAACAUUUCGAAAGGGGUGCUAAUACCGGAUAAGCCCACGAAGUCCUCGGACUUUGCGGGAAAAGGUGGCCUCUAUUUAUAAGCUACUGUAUCAGGAUGAGUCCGCGUACCAUUAGCUAGUUGGCGGGGUAACGGCCCACCAAGGCGACGAUGGUUAGCUGGUCUGAGAGGAUGAUCAGCCACACUGGAACUGAGACACGGUCCAGACUCCUACGGGAGGCAGCAGUGGGGAAUUUUGCGCAAUGGGGGAAACCCUGACGCAGCAACGCCGCGUGAGUGAUGAAGGCCUUCGGGUCGUAAAGCUCUGUCAGAGGGAAAGAAGUGUAUUGUGGUUAAUACCCAUGAUACUUGACGGUACCUCAAAGGAAGCACCGGCUAACUCCGUGCCAGCAGCCGCGGUA
rnacentral:rRNA from 1 species